UGCCAGCAGCCGCGGUAAUACGGAGGGUGCAAGCGUUGUUCGGAAUUACUGGGCGUAAGGCGAGUGUAGGCGGCUGAGCAAGUCGGAUGUGAAAUCCCAGGGCCCAACCCUGGAACUGCACCCGAAACUGCUCAGCUGGAGUCCCGGAGAGGAUGGCGGAAUUUCUGGUGUAGAGGUGAAAUUCGUAGAUACCAGAAGGAACACCAGUGGCGAAGGCGGCCAUCUGGACGGUGACUGACGCUGAGACUCGAAAGCGUGGGGAGCAAACAGGAUUAGAUA
rnacentral:rRNA from 1 species